rnacentral:tmRNA from 1 species
GGGGACGACAGGCUUCGACGUGGUCGGUUCGUGGGGGUGGUUGCGAGUCGAGGUCCCGGGAGGCCUCGUAAAACACCCGGGAACAAAUAAGUGCGGAUCAAAAGGCUGAUCUACACACCUUUGACCUCGGUCUCGCUGCUGCUUAGUCGGUAGCCCGAGCGUCAUACCCAGCCACCGCUUGCCUGCGGCGGUAGCCGGGUUUAGCAGCAGGCUUGCCCGGGAGGCCCGCUCCAGCCGCACCGGGGACAACUUCGGAGCUGGCCCUCGGCGACCCGGCCGGCAAGGCGAGUCGAGGGCGAGAUAAAGAGCGCCGGCUACGCUCGUAGACGCCACCUUUCACGCGAUUGCGGACGCGGGUUCAAUUCCCGCCGUCUCCACCU